GAUGAACGCUGGCGGCGUGCCUAAUACAUGCAAGUCGAGCGAACGGACGAGAAGCUUGCUUUUCUGAUGUUAGCGGCGGACGGGUGAGUAACACGUGGAUAACCUACCUAUAAGACUGGGAUAACUUCGGGAAACCGGAGCUAAUACCGGAUAAUAUUUUGAACCGCAUGGUUCAAAAGUGAAAGACGGUCUUGCUGUCACUUAUAGAUGGAUCCGCGCUGCAUUAGCUAGUUGGUAAGGUAACGGCCUACCAAGGCAACGAUGCAUAGCCGACCUGAGAGGGUGAUCGGCCGCACUGGAACUGGGACACGGACCAGGCUCCUACGGGAGGCAGCAGUAGGGAAUGUUACGCAAUGGGCGGAAGCCUGACGGAGCAAGCCCGCGUGAGUGAUGAAGGUGUUGGGAUCGGAAAACUCUGUUAUUAGGGAAGAACAUAUGUGUAAGUAACUGUGCACAUCUUGACGGUACCUAAUCAGAAAGCCACGGCUAACUACGUG
rnacentral:rRNA from 1 species